AGAGUUUGAUUAUGGCUCAGGAUGAACGCUAGCGGCAGGCCUAACACAUGCAAGUCGAGGGGUAGAGUAAGCUUGCUUACUUGAGACCGGCGCACGGGUGCGUAACGCGUAUGCAAUCUACCUUAUACAGGGGAAUAGCCCAGAGAAAUUUGGAUUAAUGCCCCAUGGUAUUAUAGAGUGGCAUCACUUUAUAAUUAAAGUUCCAACGGUAUAAGAUGAGCAUGCGUCCCAUUAGUUAGUUGGUAAGGUAACGGCUUACCAAGACGAUGAUGGGUAGGGGUCCUGAGAGGGAGAUCCCCCACACUGGUACUGAGACACGGACCAGACUCCUACGGGAGGCAGCAGUGAGGAAUAUUGGUCAAUGGGCGCAAGCCUGAACCAGCCAUGCCGCGUGCAGGAAGACGGUCCUAUGGAUUGUAAACUGCUUUUAUACAGGAAGAAACCCUCCCACGUGUGGGAGAUUGACGGUACUGUAGGAAUAAGGAUCGGCUAACUCCGUGCCAGCAGCCGCGGUAAUACGGAGGAUCCAAGCGUUAUCCGGAAUCAUUGGGUUUAAAGGGUCCGUAGGCGGUCUUAUAAGUCAGUGGUGAAAUCCCAUCGCUCAACGAUGGAACUGCCAUUGAUACUGUAAGACUUGAAUGCUUAGGAAGUAACUAGAAUAUGUAGUGUAGCGGUGAAAUGCUUAGAUAUUACAUGGAAUACCAAUUGCGAAGGCAGGUUACUACUAAGUGAUUGACGCUGAUGGACGAAAGCGUGGGGAGCGAACAGGAUUAGAUACCCUGGUAGUCCACGCCGUAAACGAUGGAUACUAGCUGUUCGGAGCAAUCUGAGUGGCUAAGCGAAAGUGAUAAGUAUCCCACC
rnacentral:rRNA from 1 species